GGUGGCAUGGUGCAAUGGGAGCAUACCCUCAGCUCAGGGAACCCCUCCAGAUACCCGACAUGCUCCUGGUCUUGCAUCAGGCUGUCAAGUCCGGACUGGAUAGUGUGCGAUUCCAUAGAAUGCUAAGAGGGAGAUUCUGGUUCAAAUCCGGAUGCCGCCG